rnacentral:tRNA from 1 species
CCCUUGGUAGCUCAGUUGGUAGAGCGGUGGACUGUAGUAGGGCUAUUCAGAGAUCCAUAGGUCGCUGGUUCAAAUCCGGCCCGAGGGA